ACCAUGACUCUCGACAAUGGAUAUCUCAGCUCUCGUUUCAAUGAAGAACGUAGCGAAAUGCGAUACUUUGUGUGAAUUGCAGAAUCCCAUGAAUCAUCGAAUCUUUGAACGCAAGUUGUGCCCGAGGCCCUAGGUCGAGGGCACGUCUGGCUGGGUGCGGUGAUG
rnacentral:rRNA from 1 species